rnacentral:rRNA from 1 species
GUUGAACGCGGUUAUCCCGCAAGGGAUAACUGAGUGGCGAACGGGUGAGUAACACGUGGGUGACCUACCUUCGAGUGGGGGAUAACGUCCCGAAAGGGACGCUAAUACCGCAUAACAUCCUGCUCUUGAACGAGCAGAGAUCAAAGCCGGGGAUCGCAAGACCUGGCGCUUGUUGAGGGGCCCGCGUCUGAUUAGCUAGUUGGUGAGGUAACGGCUCACCAAGGCGACGAUCAGUAUCCGGCCUGAGAGGGCGGACGGACACACUGGGACUGAGACACGGCCCAGACUCCUACGGGAGGCAGCAGUGGGGAAUUGUUCGCAAUGGGCGCAAGCCUGACGACGCAACGCCGCGUGGAGGAUGAAGGUCUUCGGAUCGUAAACUCCUGUUGCCCGGGACGAAUAGCUUCGACCUAAUACGUCGGAGUAUGACGGUACCGGGUGAGGAAGCCCCGGCUAACCCUGUGCCAGCAGCCGCGGUAAUACAGAGGGGGCAAGCGUUGUUCGGAAUUACUGGGCGUAAAGGGCGCGUAGGCGGCCUGUUAAGUCGAACGUGAAAUCCCUGGGCUCAACCCAGGAACUGCGUCCGAUACUGGCUGGCUUGAAUCCGGGAGAGGGAUGCGGAAUUCCAGGUGUAGCGGUGAAAUGCGUAGAUAUCUGGAGGAACACCGGUGGCGAAGGCGGCAUCCUGGACCGGUAUUGA